UGCGGGGGGACGGUAAUUGAUGUGACACAUCUCUUCUGCGCAGCUGCGUCUCUGUCUCAGUUGAGCUGAGCUGUCUGUGCUGUAUUAUUAAUUUCUCUGCUGCCGUGGGGAGGUUUGUGUGGGUUUCUGCCUCAUCCUGGUCACCAUCUGGACCUGCUACAGUGUGCAGCCGGUCGGCCCUGAAUGCAGCAGCUGGAUGAUUUCUGCGGCUUCACUCAGUCACUGCGUCAGACGGAGGAUUGUGAUCAACACCAAAGGCUGAGGCGGUUCAGAGCCUGAACAAACACUUUGCACAUUUUCAACCUUCACGUCUUACAUUUACAUUAUUUAUAGAAAAAAUGCAUUUUUAAGUGUAGACCUUCAGACGGGAAAUGAAUGCAGACAGAAACAGAUGGAAACAAUAAAAAUGCAAAUAUUCCCAAAA